AUUGAACGCUGGCGGCAGGCCUAACACAUGCAAGUCGGACGGUAGCACAGGGGAGCUUGCUCCUCGGGUGACGAGUGGCGGACGGGUGAGUAAUGUCUGGGGAUCUGCCCGAUAGAGGGGGAUAACCACUGGAAACGGUGGCUAAUACCGCAUAACGUCGCAAGACCAAAGAGGGGGACCUUCGGGCCUCUCACUAUCGGAUGAACCCAGAUGGGAUUAGCUAGUAGGCGGGGUAACGGCCCACCUAGGCGACGAUCCCUAGCUGUUCUGAGAGGAUGACCAGCCACACUGGAGCUGAGACACGGUCCAGACUCCUACGGGAGGCAGCAGUGGGGAAUAUUGCACAAUGGGCGCAAGCCUGAUGCAGCCAUGCCGCGUGUAUGAAGAAGGCCUUCGGGUUGUAAAGUACUUUCAGCGGGGAGGAAGGCGAUGUGGUUAAUAACCGCGUCGAUUGACGUUACCCGCAGAAGAAGCACCGGCUAACUCCGUGCCAGCCGCCGCCGCAG
rnacentral:rRNA from 1 species